AGUCACCAUCUUGGAAUUGAUGAUACCAAAAAUAUUGCAAGAGUGGUACAACACAUGCUUAUAGAUGGUGCUCUUUUGCAAAUUACUGCAAGGAGAUUACGUGGUUCUCCUGAAAAAGUGGGAGUAUAUUGGCGUCACUUGGUUCCUUUCAGCAAAUGUGGUUUUCAAAAUCUGAGUUUGAGGAACAUGGAGCUUCUAAUGUUCAAAGAAAAUGCCCGUAAAGUACUUUACUGGUGCAGACAAUUAUCACAUUAGACAUAAAUUCAUGGAGCUGACUUCACUUUGAUUAGUUCGCUGACGGUAUGGGUUGCUCGGUUUUAAUAUCCUGCUUUAUAGGCGCCCAAACAAUGUACUAUAUAUAUUUACUAUACCUCUCGCGAAUCGUUGCUAAUGUUGUACAAUUACGUUACCUGACUUUUAGUUCAACAAAUUAUACUUGUUAGGGAAUCUUUCAAGUUUGUACUUGUUAUUGACUUUUAGUUCAACAAAUUAUAUUUGAGCAUUGACUUUUGCUUUUAGAUUA